UGAGGGAUAGUUCAGCGGCAGAACGACGGAUUCUGGCUCCGUUAACCGUGGUUCGAAUCCACGUCCCUCAGCCA
rnacentral:tRNA from 1 species